rnacentral:lncRNA from 1 species
CCAGAGUGACCCAUUCUGUAUGCCAGGAGAAUGAGUCAUUGUCUGCUCUGGGGGCUUGGCUCCCUCCUUCCCUCCCUCUUUCCUCCCCAAAGCUAUUUUCUGUGCUCAGGCUGCGCCUGCUUACCUGCCUUAGCAUUCAGACAGGGAAGAAAUGUGGAGACAAGGUAGUGGGAGGAAUAUGAGGGGAGACGGAGCCAGGUAACCAUAGGACAAAUCCUGCAAGAUGCACACUUCCUUGUUUUGCUGAAGGCCGGGAAGAUUCUCAACGGAGGGUGCGUCCCAAAUGCAGGGAAGUAUCGGGAUUUUUUGUAGCCGGAAUGUCUUGGACCGGCUUUAAUGUAGCCAGCAUCGCUCAGAAGCUCAGGCAGGUAGUAGGUUUCUUAAUAGGGACCCUGUUGGAAAAAAGGGCUUUGAGGAACUGUGGUAGCACCGUGGUUAGAGUGCAGCGUUGAAGGCUAAACUCUGCCCACAGCCUGGAGUUCAAUCCUGAUGGGAUUCAAGGUUGACUCAGCCUUCCAUCUUUCCAAGAUGGGAUCUCCAAUGCAUGCCAGCCCAUUGGACUGGAAAACGGUGCCAACCCGCCAGCUGAAUGGUUCCCGCGCAGCCAGGGUCCAGGGUUGCGGCCACCCAACAGCGAAGUGGACAGCAGCGAGAGGAACUUCAGGGUGAACCUUCACUGCAAGUAUGGGCGGCCUAGAGAAUUCAAGUGUAACAGCAGGAGCAGCAAAACAGAAGGCCCAGGCAGCACAUUUCCAGAUGUCCAUCCAAGCAAUUGUUCCACCAAGAGGCAUGCAAGUGAAGAUGAGCUGAGGAAGCGGCUGAAAUCCCAGGGGUCAGCAUUACUGUCAACCGGAGGUGCUCUGCGCAGCACUUCCUCUUCUGACUACAUCCAAGAGCCAAAGUUCCUUCAGUCAGGACAUCCUGGGCAAAAGACAUCCGGGUGCCUGGCAG